AUCGCUUCUUGGCCAUUUGGCCAAGAUCAAGUGUAGUAAGAAGGGAUGUUGUAUUUUGUCAAAUGCUUUUUCUGCAUCUGUGGACAAGAUUAUAUAGGUUUUUUUCUUUUCUUUUGUUAAUGUAAUGUAUCAAUUUGGUGGAUUUGCAAAUAUUGAACCAGCC
rnacentral:snRNA from 1 species